rnacentral:lncRNA from 1 species
GUCCUGUCAUUAUCAGAGUUGGUCAUGUCACGUUUUCUAAAGUUUCUUACAUAUUUUCUUUAAUUUUUUUUCUUAAAUAUUUUAUCAAAUGAUAAAAUCUUUUAUAUUCAAAUUUCAGAAAAAUAUUUUGAGAAAUAAAAGAGAAUUAGCAAAUUUCAUUCUGGUCCUGUCAUUGUCGAGGUUGGUCAUGUCAGUCAGCGAUGGUCAUGUCACGUUUUCGAAAGUUUUUGAGAAUAAAUCUAUAUUUUUUAUAACAUUUUGGUUUCAAAAUAUGACAUAUCAUUUUAUAUUUCAAAUCUGAGAUAAUUCCUUUGAAAAAUAAAAAAGUUAUUAGCAUUUUUAUUUGGUCCUGUCAUUCUCUAU